AGUAGUCAUAUGCUUGUCUCAAAGAUUAAGCCAUGCAUGUGUAAGUAUGAACUAUUUCAGACUGUGAAACUGCGAAUGGCUCAUUAAAUCAGUUAUAGUUUGUUUGAUGGUACGUGCUACUCGGAUAACCAUAAUAAUUCUAGAGCUAAUACGUGCAACAAACCCUGACUUCCGGAAGGGAUGCAUUUAUUAGAUAAAAGGCUGACGUGGGCUUUGCCCGCUGCUCCGAUGAUUUAUGAUAACUCGACGGAUCGCACGACCCUCGUGCCGGCGACGCAUCAUUCAAAUUUCUGCCCUAUCAACUUUCGAUGGUAGGAUAGGGGCCUACCAUGGUGGUGACAGGUGACGGAGAAUUAGGGUUCGAUUCCGGAGAGGGAGCCUGAGAAACGGCUACCACAUCCAAGUAAGGCAGCAAGUCUGGAGGGCAAGUCUGGCGCCGGCAGCCGCGGUAAUUCCAGCUCCAAUAGCAUAUAUUUAAGUUGUUGCAGUGAAAAAGCUCGUAGUUGGACUUUGUGACGGGUCGGUCGGUCUGCCUCGCGGUGUGCACUGGUCGUCCCAUCCCUUCUGUCGGCGUUGCAUGCCUAGCCUUAACUGGCCGGGUCGUGCCUCCGACGCUGUUACUUUGAAGAAAUUAGAGUGCUCAAAGCAAGCCCGCGCUCUGGAUACAAUAGCAUGGGAAAACAUCACAGGAUUUCGAUCCUAUUGUGUUGGCCUUCGGGAUCAGAGUAAUGAUUAAGAGGGACAGUCGGGGGCAUUCGUAUUUCAUAGUCAGAGGUGAAAUUCUUGGAUUUAUGAAAGAUGAACCACUGCGAAAGCAUUUGCCAAGGAUGUUUUCAUUAAUCAAGAACGAAAGUUGGGGCUCGAAGACGAUCGAUACCCGCCCUAAUCUCAACCAUAAACGAUGCCACCAGGGAUCGGGGAUGUUGUCUUAGGACUCCGCCCGCACCUUAUGAGAAAUCAAAGUCUUUGGGUUCCGGGGAGUAUGGUCGCAAGGCUGAAACUUAAAGGAAUUGACGGAAGGGCACCACCGAGGGGAGCCCGCGGCUUAAUUUGACUCAACACGGGAAACUUACCAGGUCAAGACAUAGCAAGGAUUGACAGACUGAGAGCUCUUUCUUGAUUCUAUGGUUGGUGGUGCAUGGCCGUUCUAAGUUGGUGGAGCGAUUUGUCUGGUUAAUUCCGAUAACGAACGAGACCUCAGCCUGCUAACUAGCUACGCGGAGGCAUCCCUCCGCGGCCAGCUUCUUAGAGGGACUAUGGCCGUUUAAGCCACGGAAGUUUGAGGCAAUAACAGGUCUGUGAUGCCCUUAGAUGUUCUGGGCUGCAACGAGUCGGGUUGUUUGGGAAUGCAGCCCCAAUCGGGCGGUAAAUUCCAUCCAAGGCUAAAUAUGGGCGAGAGACCGAUAGCGAACAAGUACCGCGAGGGAAA
rnacentral:rRNA from 1 species